rnacentral:lncRNA from 1 species
GGAUGGCAUCAUUGAGCUGGUUCACUGCAGAACUCAAGACCAGCUAGCUGACAUUAUGACAAAGCCAUUGAAGCUUGAUACAUUCUGUGAUCUUAGAAGCAAAAUGGGAAUGGCAGAUUUUGUAUGCUUAACCUGAUGUGUAGUAGUUUGUGUAUAAACUGAUUUUUAGUAUUUGUGUUUGUAGAAAUCAGUUUAAGGGAGGGUAUGUUGAUAGUUGUAUAUGUGUGUUUGGGCUUAGCUUGCAUUGGGCCUAGUUU